rnacentral:rRNA from 1 species
UACGUAGGUGGCAAGCGUUAUCCGGAAUCAUUGGGUUUAAAGGGUCCGUAGGCGGUUUUGUAAGUCAGUGGUGAAAGCCCAUCGCUCAACGGUGGAACGGCCAUUGAUACUGCAAGACUUGAAUUAUUGGGAAGUAACUAGAAUAUGUAGUGUAGCGGUGAAAUGCUUAGAGAUUACAUGGAAUACCAAUUGCGAAGGCAGGUUACUACUAAUGGAUUGACGCUGAUGGACGAAAGCGUGGGUAGCGAACAGG